UACGUAGGGGGCUAGCGUUGUCCGGAUUUAUUGGGCGUAAAGAGCGUGUAGGCGGCCAUGUAGGUCCGGUGUGAAAACUCGAGGCUUAACCUCGAGAUGUCAUCGGAAACCAUUUGGCUAGAGUCCGGAAGAGGAGAGUGGAAUUCCUGGUGUAGCGGUGAAAUGCGCAGAUAUCAGGAAGAACACCGGUGGCGAAGGCGGCAUCCUGGACCAACACUGACGCUGAGUGAGCGAAAGCCAGGGGAGCAAACGGG
rnacentral:rRNA from 1 species